rnacentral:lncRNA from 1 species
AAAAAUAAUAUUGUUUCAUUGAAUUUCAUCGAUUUUUUGAUUCUUUUCAAAGUUUGAAAACAUAAGUUCUUCAUUGUGGAAAUUAAAAUAAUUUGAAUUUUUUUUGAAGUUUUGUUCCAAGUUUGCUGGGUUCUGGUUCUACUAAAACUAUUUCUUUUGGAUUACUGCAUACCAUUUGGAAUUGGAAGCUAAUUUCCUUGGUUAUUUCUGCUGCUUUGCUGCUUGGUUACUGAUCUUCACUUGCUUUCUUUGAUUUCAUCUCCAGGUAUAUUCUCUUGUGUUCGACUUGUUGUAUGUUCCAUAGUGAAGAUGGAAAUGAAAUCUGAAACAUGGUAGUUAAUUUGGUUUUGUUUUAUUUACAUUUUUCUUCAUGUUGUUAUUGUACUUUUGGUCAUUUAAAAUGUCACGAGUUAUAGUAAUUUUAUCUAAGUAGAUGAAUUCAUAUAGUUGUAAUUGAAUUGGGACUAUGGAGCUGAUAUUUUGGAGGACUCAAUUAUAUUAGAUAGGUCCUCGACUUGUUUGGCUUUAGAUGAGUUAGAUGGUAGUAUAUUUGAAGAUGUUGUGAACACAAAUGAUGUUAUUUUUUCUUAUAGAAUUAACACUUGACUUUUUUGAUCUGAAUGUUAGCAUUUGAAAUGGAAAGCUAAUAUAAAGUUUGUAUUUUCAGUAAUCAUGAUUAUGUAGUUAGUGUUUUCAGUGAUUCUUCAAUUUCUAAUAUGUAAAUGAGUAUCAUGUGAAUGUGGUUAAGCUUGACAUAUGGUUUGAAUUAGUUGUUAUUUUAAGGUUAAUUAAUACUUCAAUAACUAGUUAUUGAUAAAUUGGAUUCUUGGCGGUUUGAGGGCAAUUUUCCCAGAUUUGUUGGAGUUAUAUUCCAUCACAAUAUUUAAAUUUAGUUUGAGGUUUAAAGAUUUGAAGUUGCAUAUAGUUUAACUGUCAAAAUGGAGCCUUUCUUUUGUGUUUAAAAUCAGUGAUAAGCCUUGUUAAAUAUUGAUUCCUUCAGGGACUCGAUCCUGAGUCUCCCUCCCCCCCUUUUAGCUCCAACGUUUUUAAAUUGGGCCUGCUAUUGAGGUUUGGCCCAAAUCAUUUAAUGUUGAUGGUUCUAUAGUUACAACACGUUAUGGGGCUCGGCUUUGAAAGGGAAGUGGACCUUUAUUUACUUACUCCAUUUUUAAGCUUAGACUUUAACACAAAAUGCCUUUGAGUUCCUUUAGGCUCUUUCUUAAUUAAGCUACAUUCUUCACAAAUAGAUUGAGGUGAGCCAUAUUAGAUAAAAUAAAUAGUUAUGGCCCUCCAAAUAAUUUGAAUUCCUUUUUAAAUUAGAAUUGAGGUGUGUCAUGCCAAAUAAAAAUGAUAAUUGCAUAGUCUUUGUUUAAUUAAUUUUUAUUUAAUCCGUAGAACUCAAGGCGUACCACCUAGUUGAAUUUCAGUGGCCCUCACAAAUUGCAAACGUGUAGUUUCUUUUGGCACAUUAUUUUGAUAAUUUACCUCUCUAAACUCGGGUACCUAUUUAUAUGACCCAUAUCCAAAUCUCAACGUUAGAUAAAACGUGUUAUGGAUCGCAUGUGCAUUUAUGUGACAUGGUUCGAAACAUAUUUUAAUUGAUGUUCCAAUCUUUCUUUAAAAGUGAAUAAAAGCGGUUAAAGUUAAAAUUGUGCAUUGGUCUUAAAUGUUUUAAAUCAGAUAAUCGAGCUAAUUGUAACAGUUGAGCGACCGUGCAAAAGCUACAGAACUCAAGAAUGGAUAACACCUUCUCCCUGGUUAACAAAAUUUAUUACCCGGAUUUAUGGUUUGCAGACUGUAAUAUAGAGUCAACCUUUUUCUCGACUUGGGAUUUGAACCGGUGACCUGGGACACUAUAAAUUAUUCCAAGUGGCGAAUCCUUUCUAAUAGAAAUAAAUCUCAUUCGAUUGUCCUUUAAUUGGAAAAACUCCCUUAUACCAUUACAGGUGUAAAAAAAGGAGGUAUGAUACAUAUCAUAGUAGUUGCAUACUGUCACGACCCGAAAUUUCCCUCGUUAGGAUGUUGUGAUAGCACCUAGUCUGUAAGACUAGGUAAACCUAAUAUUUAAUAAUAACUUGACAGAAAAAAAUUAAUAAAAAUACUAAAACAAGACUGAUGAACUCUUAAAAUAUUCGGAAAUAGAAUCUCAACAAUACACUUUCAUAACCGGUGGAACUGAGUUACAAGAUCUACAGAGUAAACUAGAAUGUUGAUUACAUCACUAUAUGAAUGAAAAUAAAACAUGAAUUAAAGAUAACAAAACAUAACUUCGGGGCCUUCGGACGCCGAUCAGGUAUACCUUGAAGUCUCUGGAAAGCAGCUCAAGACGAUCACUAAUGUUCGGCACGAGCAGACAUAGUUGGAUUUUAGAUGUGUAGAAACUUAGUAUGAGUAUACCACGACGGUACCCAAUAAGUAUCAAGCCUAACCUUGAUAGAUUAAUGAAAAGUCCAGCUCAAGACACCUGCUAGGACAAUAACCAGAAGUAAUGGAAAGCGGAGAAAUAGUUAAUAUGAAGCAAGUUGAUAACAUAGUCUAAUGAAUGGAUUGUAAGCAAAGAGAUAACAUAAAGGAAGAAAUUGAAAAGAACUAGAACGAUAAUAUACAGACAAUAACUGAUGGGGCAAGGAAGAACAAAACAACAAGAAGUGUUCUAAGAAAUAACUCUUUCGAAAUGAGAUAAAAAAUAAGAAUUAUAACAAGGUAUCGCCUCGUGUAUAUUAAGAAUUACAACUGAGGUACCGCCUCACAUUCAUAUUUCUCAAUUUCAAUCACAAUCAUUCCUAAUACCGCCUCGUGACUCUUACAUUAAAAUAGUUUUGAAAAUAUUUUUUCCAAAAUAUCUACAUGCACAUUAGCCCACCUUAUGACUUUGUGUAGCUUCACGUAAUUCUGUUACAAUCAACACGCACAUAAGUCCCACCUUAUGCCGCCGCAUGCACAUUAACCCCUAUCAUUAUACUGUCACAUGCACGUCAAUAUCACAUCAUAAUAACAACUCGCACCACUAGCGCACAUAUGCCAUAACUUGCCAAUUAUCAACAACAUCAAUGUUUCCAAAACAAUAUCCCAUGGUUCGAUCACAAUGUGUACAAUAAUAUCAACAACAACAGUGAAUUCAGAUUUCUCAACAAAAAAGAUAUCUCAACAAUUAAUACUUUACCAUAAUGUGAUAACGACUUUCGCAACUUCAACACCAAUAACUCAAAAAUGAGAAAGAUAACGUGUAACCACACUACUAAAAAAGAACAUCUCAUAAGGUAAGAGAUAACAUGUAACCAUGACUUCAAAUAAAAAUAUUCAACAAUGAAAUGGACAACAUGUAACAAGGUCAUUGAAGGCCUGUAAGGAUGUCUAGACUAACACAAGUAAGAGUAUAUUGACCAUGAUAAUUUAGAACAUGAAAUAACAAUUCAAUUAGCGCAUGGAAUUAAGUAGCCUAAACUGGUAAAAUACCAAUAUAACCCGUGAACCUACUCGUCACUAUACGUUGUCACAGCCUAAAUCCGGACCCGGUUAUGAUGACGCCUCUCGUGAAAACAAGGGCAGGCGACACACUACAAAUUUAUUUUGAAGCAAUUAAAUAAUACAAAUUAACUCUUAAUCAUAAUAAUAGUAAUCCCAAAAUAAGGUGAAUAAUACAGUUUGAGGAAUGGACAUAGCCCGACAUCGGGAUGUCACCAGUCAUGAGCAUCUAUCAUAAUAACUACAAGUCUAAAAGAGUCUACAUUGCUAAAAAUAGGAGAAAAUAAAAUAGAGGACGAAACACUGGGCUGCGAAUGCCAAGUAGCUACCUAGUAAAUCUCUUGGAUCUGCUGGAAAGCUCUCAACACUCGCAAGCAAGACCUGAUGCGCCUGAAUGUGCACACAUGGUGCAGGGAGUAAAUAAAUGCAUACUGAGUAAUAAGAAACCACAUAUAUUCACAUCAACAGACUAUAAAGAAGCAGUAAUAGCCAGUAAAAGCAAUGAUACAUUGAAGAAUAAGUAAAGUCACUAUAGCAAAGUUAAAACUUCUUUGGAAUGCCUUUUUAAUAGUUAAGCAAGUAAAUGAUGGGGAACUAGGAAAGAGAAACACAUAAAUAACUGCCCAUCGGGCAUAAUACCAAUAGGAUCAGCCAUUUGGUUAACACACAGAACAAUUUCAAUCCUUCCGGCUAUAUCUCAUAUCACAAUGGGUACCCGCGCUCACUGGGGGUGUGCAGACUCCUAGAGGUCCCCCUUAUGGCCCAAGCGCAAUAUCAAGCCAUCUCGUGGUGUACAAUCUCAAGCCCUUAGCCUCAUAAUCAUGAAUCAGCUCAAUAACCUCACAAUACAAAUCGGCCUUACUAAGUUAGAAUCUCCUAAGCCACCCGGGAAAUGGUAAAUCAUGAUGCUUAGCACAAAAUAUCAAUUAAAAUAUCUUUUGAAGUGUUGAAAUAGAGUUGACAUGGUUUGAGUUAUGAAAAUAGUAGGAUAUGGCAUGACACAGUACAAGUAUAAAGCCAAAACAGUGAGGAAAUAUCAGUAAAAAUCCCCUGAGGGUCCAAUUAGUUGGCAUGAGGGCCAAAUAUGGCUUUCAUCCCAAAACAUAAUGAUAGCAAAUAGUUUUCAGUCAAAUACGCUGUAAAAUAGUCAUACAAGAUGGACAAAGUCACAAUCCCCUACGGUGCACGACCCCACGCUCGUCAUCUAGCAUGUGUGUCACCUCAAUAUAGCACAACAGUGUGCAAUCCGAGUUUCAUACCCUCAGGACAAUAUUUACGAUCAUUACUCACCUCUACCAGGUCCAAAUCUCUAGCUCGUGAUGCCUUUGCCCCUCAAAUCGGCCUCUAGAUGCUCCAAAUCUAACAAAAAAUCAGUACAAACCAUCAAAAUAUGCUAAGGGAACAAAUCCCACUCGAAAGAAAUCAAAUUACAUCACAAAUCCCGAAAUUGGCCAAACCCCACCCUCGGGCCCGCAUCUUGGGAUCCGAUAAAAAUUACAUUGAUGGACUCCUUAUCAUUCCCCGAAUUCUUUCUUACCAAAAGCAUCAAAAUCUAACUAAAAACAACCCCUCAAAAUCCCAAAUUCUAGGUCCCCAAUUGCAAGCUCUAGUUCUUCCAUAUUAGGCGUAAACUCCACGAUUAAUUAGGUAAAAUUCACAUUAGAAUCGAGUAUUAUGUCCAUAAACCUUACCUCCAAGUGUAUCCCCUUGAAUCCCUCUUCAAUCCUUUUCAAAAAGCUCCAAAAUCGCUCAAACGUGGUGAACGUUAACCGCAAAAUUACGGACCAAAUAGCUAUUUAAAAUUCUGCCCAAGCAUUCAAUCCUUCUUCGUGAACGUAGUCAACUCCUCGCGUUUGCAAAGCACAAACUUACUUUGACCAAAUUUCCUUUAUCGCGAUCGCAAAUGAAAGCUCACGAAUGCGAAGACCUGGCUAUCUAACCCAACAUGAACAUGACUCCCCUCCGCGAACAUGAAGAACAAUUCCACUGAACCCCAGGUGCUCAACUGCCUCUACAAGAAUGCGUCUGAUACCUCGCGAACGCGAUGCACAAGAUCCUAGCUCUGCAUGAACACGAAGCCUUCCUCGUGCACGCGAAGGCUAAUUCCCCAGCCUUGCCUGCUAACCCUUCGCGAGCGCGAGGGCCUACUCUUGAAGGCCAAGGUCAAUUUUUCUGCAACACUCCAGCAGAUUUUUUGCAAUUAUCCAAAACAUUAAAUAGUCCAAUUGACGACUCGAAAAUCACCCGAGGCCCUGGGGACCUCAACCAAACAUGCUAACAUACCCCAUAACAUCAUUCAAACUUGUUACUAUAUUUGAAACGCUUAAAACAACAUCGAAACACCAAAUUCACAUUGAAUUCAAGCCUAAAAGUUCCAAAAAUAUUCUAAAUUACGCUUUUGAUAAAACAACACAACCAAACCCCGCCCGAAUGACCUAAUAUUUUAUACAUAUGUCCCAAAUGACACAGAGGAACUACUGCAACUCCCGGACUUCCAUUCCGACCUCUAUAUCAAAAUCUCACUUAUAAGCCGGAAAACACCAAAAAAUCUAAUUUCUCCAAUUCAAUCCUAAAUAUACUCCGGACCUCUAAAACACAUUUCGAUCACACUCCUAGGUCCCAAAUCACCUAUUGAAGCUAUUCGAACCAUCAAAACUUAUAUCCAAGCCCUCUAACACAUACAUCAACAUCCAAUUGACUUUUCUAACUUUUGUUUUCUCAAAAGAGACUAAGUGUCUCAAAACCUUUCCAAACCCGAGCCAACCAACUCGAUCACAUAUAGAACUAAUAAACAAAGCAAUAAGAAGUAGAAAUGGGGGAAACAGAACGGUAAAUCAUUAGAUGACUGGCUAGAUCAUCACAUGCGUACACGACUUUCACAUAACAAAAAUGACACAAUCAAUUCCAAAUCCUAUGUGGUAGUUUCCCACAAAAAAAUAUGCAAUAUACAUACCUCAUCUAGACUAAAUCAACCCUCGGAAAUAGCUUUUCUCCUAAUAUUCACCUUCACACGGUUCAAAUAUAACCAAAAUUGACUUAAUAUCAUCAAACAAUGCAAGGAAAAUCAAUUACAAUACAUAAAGCUAUGAUCUUUACAAUUUUCUUACAAAGUCAACAAAAGUCAAUCUGGGGCCCACCCAGUCGAAACCGGGUUGAAAGGUAUUCCGAUUACCCAGAAUCUCACGAGUCCAUAUAUAUGAUUACUUUCAAAAUUCGAGUUCGAAUCAAUACUCAAAACUCAAAUUCUUAUUUUUCAAAAACUUAACAAAGUUUCAAAAAAAUUCACUUUGAUUCACUUGAUGUCGAUUUUAGAAUCUAAGAUAUAUUGAUGAAAUAUAGUUUUAAAUAGAUUAAAAUUACCUAGCCAAGGUUUGAUGAAGAAAUAUCGAACCAAAUCACCUCUUGUCGAGUCUGGGGUUCUAAAAUGAGAGAAUAUGAUGAAAAAUCCCCUCUCCCAGUCUUUAUUACCAGCUAUAGAUAUCACAUUUGUGACAAUGGGUUUGCAUUUGCGAACCAUUGCAAUUAUGGACCAGGGAUCACAUUUAUGAACCCUUACAGCAUCAACGAUUUUCCCAUUUGUGACAGAGGCAUUAAUAUUGCGAAGCUCAAUCUUUCGCAAAGAGAACAUUUUUUCGAAAAAUCGAACUAAGCCUCAUUCAUGCUGACUUCACUAUUGCGAAGGGGCAGCCGCAAUUGAGACAUCAGAGCCCCCAAUGUCACCUUUGCAAUUGCAAAACCGGUGCUCUUUAUUGCGAUAAUAAGCACAAACUCCAGAAAUUCAUUUUCAGUUCAAACCAUUCCAAAUAAUGUCUGAAACUCAUAUGAGCCCUCAGAGCUCCAAACCAAACAUCCACACAAUUAUAAAAACAUCAUACUAACUCGUUCACGCCAUCAUAACACAAAAAUGACAUCUCGAACUACGAAUCGAACUCCAAAAUGCAUGAAUUUCAAAGUAAAGGUCAAGAACUACUAGAAUUGCAGCUAAGUAUCUGAAUCAUAUCAAUUCAACUCCAAAUUAAUACCAAAUUUUGCAGACAAGUUCUAAAUAGCAUAGCGGACAUAUUCCAAGUCCCAAAAUUAAACUCUGAACUCGAUAACUAAAAGUCAACCAACGGUCAAACAUUUCAACUUCAAAUUUCCAAAUUUCGGAAAAAUGACACAAAUCAACCUGCGAACUUCCAAAUUCAAUUAGAGGCACAUGCACAAGUCCAAAAUCAUGAUACAGAGCUAUGGAGCCAUAAAAAUACCAUUCUGAAGUCGUUUUUACAAAAGUCAAAGUUUGGUUAGCACUUCUAAUUUAAGCUUCUAAGUCAAUAAUCAAAGGGCCCAAAUCAUCCUAAAAGCUUCCCGGAACAAAACUAAUCAACCCCGUAAGUCAUAAAACCAUACACACAUAUGUGUGAAGCAUCAAAAGGGGAAACUUGGUGCAGUUACACAAAACGACCGGUCGGGUCGUUACAUUCUCCCCAUCUUCAAAUAAGCGUUCGUCAUUAAACAUGCAUAAGGACAUACUUGAAGUGAUAAAUAUAUGAGGAUAAUGACUCUGCAUAUCGUGAUCUGUAUCUCUGCUCGCCUCUUUUACCAGAGGACUCCUCCAUUGAGCCUUCACUGAAGUAAUGCUCUUUGAUCUCAACUUUCAGACCUGUCUGUUCAAGAUAGACACCGGCUUCUUAAUAUAACUCAAAUCCUUGUCCAAUUGGACUGAGAUGAAGUUUAAAACAUGAGACGGAUCACCAUAAUACUUCCGGAGCAUAGAAGCAUGGAAUGCUAGAUGAACCAUAAAUAAACUAGGUGGCAACUAAAGCUUUUGGGCCACCUCAACAAUCCUGUUAAGGUUCUCAAAAGGUCUGAUAUACCUAGUGCUCAACUUUCCGUACUUUUCAAACCUCAUCACACACUCAUUGGUGAAACCCAAGCAAGACUCGCUCUCCAACCAUGAAUGCAAUAGCACGAACUUUCUAAUCCACAUAACUCUUGUGUCUAGAUUGGAUUGUAUGAAGCCAAUCCUGGAUCAACUUGACCUUCUCCAAGGAAUCUUGAACCAAAUAUGUGCCUAAUAACUUAGUCUCUCCCGGAUCAAACCAACCAACUAAGCAACGACAUUGUCUCCCAUAUAGGGCCUUAGGAGCCACCUGAAUACUCGAUUGGUAGAGAUUGUUCUAGGAAAAAUCUGCAAGCUGCAAUAUGUGAUCCCAAGAACCCCCAAAAUUCAUAACACUGGCACCAAGCAUAUCCUUCAACAUCUGAAUGGUGCGCUCUGACUGUCUCUCCAUCUAGGCGUGAAAUACUGUACUCAAUGUUACACGCUGUAAUACUACGUCGAUAUUGCGUCAUGCAGUAUUAUAUUCCAAUGAUGCUACUUCCUACAGUAUUACAUUACGAAGAUGUCAUGCUUUGCAAUAUUAAGUUACGACGAUGUUGCACCAUGCAGUACUGUACAUUGAAUUUGUCGUAUGGUAAUUGACAUUAGUCUAAGUUAAGGAUUAUUUGGAGAUUUAAGGACUAUGCUAUUUCACACGUAAUGAGUAAAUUGGUGAAGGUGAAAGGAGAAGCAAGUCAAAGAAAAUAAAUUUUCAUCAAAGUUUGGCAUUUUGGGGUGAAUUACGAUCCGAACUAAAGUACACGGUAUUUAUGGAUUAGUUCCAUAUAAGGUACUACAUGAUCAUUAUAGUAAGGUGUACAUAAUAUGUUAAAAGAGUAGUAUUUUAAGUAAUUUGAGUUAAUUUUCGGGCAAUUAAUUAAUUAGCGGACAACGGAACAUUACAUAACUAACUAAUAAAUGGAUAAAAAACAUAAUAAAAUAACACCCAAGAAACGUGGCAGAAAGACACCAAGAGUAGGACUCUUAGUCAUCAUAUCAGUGGGUGGUUAUUUUCUAAGGUAGGAAGUUAAUGACUAAGACUUGCUGCUAGAGUAUUGUUUUUAGUUUCAUUUAGGACAACCGCCAGAACACCUUUGUCACAGAGAAAGUCCUUCUUCCUAGUUCGAAGUACUUAAAGAACAGAAGCUAUACUCAAUCCAUAAGGGGUCCAACGAACUUCUUGCACCAAAAUAAUUCCGACGGGAAUUUUUACAAUCGUAGCAACGUAAAUGUUGCAGUUCAAAAGGAGUAUGGUGUAAUUACUGCAAGAAUAUUACAUGAAAUUUUCCUUACUCCAGGUAUGUUAAGAUUAUUCUUUUUUUUCUUUUGGCAUGAUCCAUAUGAUACAAACGAAACGAGCAAAUGCAUAGUUUUCAUAAAUGACACUAUUCAUAGAAGUAUUAGAAGUGCCUAUAUUCUUGAAUUCUCGUGUAUCUUAUUAUUCUAUCGUCUAUUCAUGGGUUUCAAAAAAUACGUAAGUUGAUAAAGUUUAUUUCAUAAUAUUAAUCAGAGGCAUAAUUGUCUUUGAUGUACCGAUAGAUUUUAUUAAUAUAUUUCAUAUGCAUUUCAUGCAUUUAGACAUGCACAUUGACCCUUGACCAGAUGGUGUUAUAUAUGCGUACCACCACCUGAUCAGCUAGUAUACGUUGAUAAUUUUGCCCACAGUGACCAAGACAAUAUGAUGGGAUGCCCUCAGAGGCAGAUGAUGUUAUGAUACAUAUACCUAUGCACGACAUGCCACUCAUAUGCCAUAUGCAUGAUACUAUAAUUAUUUCAGGAUUUACAAAGUUAUUUAGACUUAUAGGUGGAGUCAUUUACUCUAGAUUUCCUCCAUGUUUGUCAUGUAUUUAUUUAUGUGCAUUACAUACUCAGUACAUUAUUCAUACUGACGUUCCUUUUUGCCUGGGGUCACUGCGUUUCAUGCCUACAGAUUUUGACAGACAUAUCGAGAGCCCUCCAAGUAUUCUAUCAACUCAGAGGAAGAUGUUGGUGUGCUCCAUUUACUUUGGAGUUGCUUGUUUUGUUAGUAUGAGUUAGAUAUGUGUUUUUUAGUAUGGCGGGACAUUAUUCUGACCUUUAUGAAAAUUAUGUACUCUUAGAGGCUUGUAGACAGAUGUCUUGUAUAUAAAAGAUUGAAUGGCCUUGUCGGCUUAUGUUCAGUGUUCAUGUGGUUAUUUUGGUCUUAAAG